rnacentral:rRNA from 1 species
UGCAGAAUCCCGUGAACCAUCGAGUCUUUGAACGCAAGUUGCGCCCCAAGCCGUUAGGCCGAGGGCACGCCUGCCUGGGUGUCACGC